UGGGGAAUAUUGCACAAUGGGCGCAAGCCUGAUGCAGCCAUGCCGCGUGUGUGAAGAAGGCCUUCGGGUUGUAAAGCACUUUCAGCGGGGAGGAAGGCGGUGAGGUUAAUAACCUUGUCGAUUGACGUUACCCGCAGAAGAAGCACCGGCUAACUCCGUGCCAGCAGCCGCGGUAAUACGGAGGGUGCAAGCGUUAAUCGGAAUUACUGGGCGUAAAGCGCACGCAGGCGGUCUGUCAAGUCGGAUGUGAAAUCCCCGGGCUUAACCUGGGAACUGCAUUCGAAACUGGCAGGCUAGAGUCUUGUAGAGGAGGGUAGAAUUCCAGGUGUAGCGGUGAAAUGCGUAGAGAUCUGGAGGAAUACCGGUGGCGAAGGCGGCCCCCUGGACAAAGACUGACGCUCAGGUGCGAAAGCGUGGGGAGCAAACAGG
rnacentral:rRNA from 1 species